rnacentral:rRNA from 1 species
AUUGAACGCUGGCGGCAGGCCUAACACAUGCCAGUCGAGCGGAUGAAGGGAGCUUGCUCCUGGAUUCAGCGGCGGACGGGUGAGUAAUGCCUAGGAAUCUGCCUGGCAGUGGGGGAUAACGUCCGGAAACGGGCGCUAAUACCGCAUACGUCCUGAGGGAGAAAGUGGGGGAUCUUCGGACCUCACGCUAUCAGAUGAGCCUAGGUCGGAUUAGCUAGUUGGUGGGGUAAAGGCCUACCAAGGCGACGAUCCGUAACUGGUCUGAGAGGAUGAUCAGUCACGCUGGAACUGAGACACGGUCCAGACUCCUACGGGAGGCAGCAGUGGGGAAUAUUGGACAAUGGGCGAAAGCCUGAUCCAGCCAUGCCGCGUGUGUGAAGAAGGUCUUCGGAUUGUAAAGCACUUUAAGUUGGGAGGAAGGGCAGUAAGUUAAUACCUUGCUGUUUUGACGUUACCAACAGAGUAAGCACCGGCUAACUUCGUG